GCCGCGGUAAUACGGAGGGGGCAAGCGUUGUUCGGAAUUAUUGGGCGUAAAGCGUAUGUAGGCGGCUAAAUAAGUCAGGCGUGCAAGCCCGUGGCUCAACCACGGAAUUGCGUUUGAAACUGUUUAGCUUGAGUACAGGAGAGGAAAGCGGAAUUCCCAGUGUAGCGGUGAAAUGCAUUGAUAUUGGGAAGAACAUCUGUGGCGAAGGCGGCUUUCUGGUCUGUUACUGACGCUGAGAUACGAAAGCCAGGGUAGCGAACGGGAUUAGAUACCCCGGUAGUCCUGGCUGUAAACGAUGGGCACUAGGUGGAGGAGGUAUCGAUCCCCUCUCUGCCGUAGCUAACGCGUUAAGUGCCCCGCCUGGGGAGUACGGUCGCAAGGCUGAAACUCAAAGGAAUUGGCGGGGGAGCACGGUCAUACUUUGUUUCCUGA
rnacentral:rRNA from 1 species